ACACAGACCCCAUCUUCCCUAACAACAAGCUCACGGGCACAGAUGUCGGAUAUCCAGGAGGCCUAUGGUUUGAUCCUUUAGGUUGGGGAUCUGGUUCUCCUGAAAAGAUCAAAGAGUUGAGGACAAAGGAGAUCAAGAACGGGAGGCUGGCCAUGUUGGCUGUCAUGGGUGCAUGGUUCCAACACAUCUACACUGGAACAGGACCAAUUGACAACCUUUUCGCUCACCUUGCUGAUCCUGGUCACGCCACUAUUUUUGCUGUAAGCACGACUUUUCUUUCAACUCUAGCAACAUACAACCUGAAACCUAUUUUGUUGUCCCAUGUUAAAAUUUGCAGAAUUUAUGAGAAAAAGGACUGACUAACAUUCUCUCUGAAGCACAUAGAGGACUGGAUUAACAUUAGUAGGAGCAAGCACAACUUAACUGUGUUCAUGCUUUUAAGCACACAAUAUUAGGAUUAAACUACUACCACACAAGUAAUAGAGUGCAUAUACAUUUAGAAAAGUCAAGAUCUUGAGGUUAUUUUCUAUCACUGCUUAUGCAGAAUGAAACUGAAAAUAGAAUUUCCAACACCAAUUUGAGUAACUGACGCUAUUUCUGUUUUGUCCUACAGGCUUUCAGCCCCAAGUAAGAAGCAGGAGCACCAUUUGUUGGCAUUGAUGUGUUGGAGUGACACUCUGAAGAUCUGAAGAAAGAAAUUUUAGAAAUUGUUUUCCAACUUAAUGUUGUAUCACUACACUUAAGUUACUUCUGUGUGUAUCUUCUGUAGAAAAAAAUUAAGCAGUGUACAAAUAUCUUUGGGAUCUCCUAAGUCCUAACAGCAGCAAGAUAUACUAUCACUAGGCUGCACCCAUGUAAUGAUUCAAGAUUUUGAAUGCAUUUCUACUCAUAGAUAAAGAGUAGAUAUUUAAUAUUGAGUACACAACUGGUAAUUUCCUCCUCUCUUUGAAAGGCAAAAACAGGAUAUCGAAAAAAGAAGACAUGUUGCGGAGCUGCUCAAGCCUAAGGAACAAAGCUAUUUAGCAAUGCUGACACAGAACUAAUCUUAGGACAUUUCAUGUCUUCACAAAAUUUUCUGGUUAGGUAAUGAUGCUUGCAAUUUGAACAUGAUAAACACCAAACUGGAUUUCUCAGAACGAACAGACCACUGCCAUGUCAUUCCAAACAAAUACCCCAUGCUUACAUUAACUAUAACAAAGUCACAGGUAGUGAACACAUCCCAAACCAAAUUUGUUGGCAUGUAGAAAGCCCAUAUAAAUCUAACAACCAUCUAAUUGUCCUGGGAACCAUAGCCCGGUUGAGUUUCUAAUAUGUCUGUGUGGAACAUACAUGUAAUACAUCUUAUCUGUCCGCACAAAAUCACUCGAAACAUAUGCAUCUUGAAAAUAACAAAACACCUUCUAUUCUAUACUAUUGCUGCUUCCAGUAUUAAUAAUAACAAAAUAACAUCAGCAACAACAAAUGACAAAUUCAGCCAUCUUCAAGAUUAAAAUUUGACAUGUCGACUGUAUAUAAUAGUUUCAUCAACGAUUCUGGGUACAAAAUUAGAGACUUUCCACAUUAAAUAUCAUACCUUUUUAGCAAUCAAAUGACGCUUUCAAUUAAUUAAACAAAAUUGAAGAAAAAAAGUUAUAGUUUCUUGUUUUUGAUAAAGUCUGCUAAGCUGAUUGGUUAGUAGCUAAUUUUAUUUAUACUACUAAAAUAAAAGUAUUUACAAAUGAAAGGAAUAAGAACUUGCAAGCAGCUUGGACUCAAGAGAGCCUUUUAAAGUCAUAAGAGAACCUGAAAGUGUCGGCCAUUUCCUUCUCCAUUGUAAAGCUGCAAAGAGACAUUUGGGAUAUGUUUUUGUGCAUUUUUAGGAGAUACUGCGUAUGCCCUUCAACGUUAAAGAUGCCUACUCUAGCUGGGGACUAUGGCGAGUUGGAAAAUCCAUCAAAAGUAUCUGGCAAAUGGUUUUUCUGGUGCAUUUGGUAAGAGAGGAACGAUAGAUGCUUCGAUAAGAUCUCGAUUCCUAACCACCCCUUAAAAGCUAGAUAUCAUUCAUAUUUUUUUUGCCGGUGUAACUUAAACUAUGUACAUAUACUAAACAAGUGUUAGAUUAUAUAAGAUCAUCUCC
rnacentral:lncRNA from 1 species